CCCUCAAAGAUGAUGAGGUUAAUAGGUUCGAGGUGGAAGCAUGGUGACAUGUGGAGCUGACGAAUACUAAUCGAUCGAAGACUUAAUCAAA
rnacentral:rRNA from 1 species